rnacentral:rRNA from 1 species
CAGCCGUAAACUAUGCGCGUUAGGUGUAUCGGUGACCACGAGUCACCGAGGUGCCGAAGGGAAACCGUGAAACGUGCCGCCUGGGAAGUACGGUCGCAAGGCUGAAACUUAAAGGAUUGGCGGGGGAGCACCACAACGGGUGGAGCCUGCGGUUUAAUUGGACUCAACGCCGGACAACUCACCGGGGACGACAGCAAUAUGUAGGCCAGGCUGAAGACCUUGCCUGAAUCGCUGAGAGGAGGUGCAUGGCGUAGACGUCU